AGAGUUUGAUCCUGGCUCAGAUUGAACGCUGGCGGCAGGCUUAACACAUGCAAGUCGAGCGGUAACAUUUCUAGCUUGCUAGAAGAUGACGAGCGGCGGACGGGUGAGUAAUGCUUGGGAAUAUGCCUUAUGGUGGGGGACAACAGUUGGAAACGACUGCUAAUACCGCAUAACGUCUACGGACCAAAGGGGGGGAUCUUCGGACCUCUCGCCAUUUGAUUAGCCCAAGUGAGAUUAGCUAGUUGGUAAGGUAAUGGCUUACCAAGGCGACGAUCUCUAGCUGGUUUGAGAGGAUGAUCAGCCACACUGGGACUGAGACACGGCCCAGACUCCUACGGGAGGCAGCAGUGGGGAAUAUUGCACAAUGGGGGAAACCCUGAUGCAGCCAUGCCGCGUGUGUGAAGAAGGCCUUCGGGUUGUAAAGCACUUUCAGUUGUGAGGAAAGGGGUGUAGUUAAUAACUGCAUGCUGUGACGUUAACAACAGAAGAAGCACCGGCUAACUUCGUGCCAGCAGCCGCGGUAAUACGAGGGGUGCAAGCGUUAAUCGGAAUUACUGGGCGUAAAGCGUACGUAGGCGGUUUGUUAAGCAAGAUGUGAAAGCCCAGGGCUCAACCUUGGAACUGCAUUUUGAACUGGCAAACUAGAGUACUGUAGAGGGUGGUGGAAUUUCCAGUGUAGCGGUGAAAUGCGUAGAUAUAGGAAGGAACAUCAGUGGCGAAGGCGGGCCACCUGGACAGAUACUGACGCUGAGGUACGAAAGCGUGGGGAGCGAACAGGAUAGAUACCCUGCUAGUCCACGCGUAAAACGAUGUCAACUAGCCCGUUUUGUGUUCCUUGAAGAACGUGAAGUUGGCG
rnacentral:rRNA from 1 species